AAGGCCCAUGGACCAAAAAUCAAAUGCUCUGUAAAAAUGGCGACACCUCUACUUCCUUUCUUCAUCUUUUCCUUCUUCUCCAUUUCUUCUGUCGCUCAGUCAACCGGUUCUCUGCCUCAAACUGCUCCAAAAUCCCUAUCCAUCGGCUAUAUUCAGUUGGUUGGCGGUGGAGUGGUUGUCGGAGGUAGACGGUGGUGGGUGCUAGCGGUCUCCAGCGGAGGCAGUGACCAGUGGCAGGAGAUGGGAGUCGUCAAUGGCAGCAGGAGGCCGCUCGUUGAUGGUAGUUUCCAACAAUGGUGUUCAUGAAAGAGAACUAAUGAACCGAGAAGAAAGUAUCAGCAACAACAGGUUUUAUUACGGGACAACUCAUGAUGUUCAUAAUCUAUUAUGCGCCUCUGCAUCUAGCAUUGGGUAGACCUCAUACAAUAACUGUCCUAGCUCUACCGUAUCUUUUGUUUCAUUUCUUCUGAAACAAUCACAACACCAAGAUUUUUAUAUCAUUAAUAAAAGGGAAAAUUUUAAAAAAAUAUCUUUCCUCUGUAGUCUUUAGAAGUUACAAU